CUUGGAAUAGCUCAUCCGGUAGAGCGUCAGUUUCGAGAACUGAAUGUGGCGGGUUCGAUCCCCGCUUCCAAAC
rnacentral:tRNA from 2 species